GACGUAGGGCGCGAGCGUUGUCCGGAUUUAUUGGGCGUAAAGAGCUCGUAGGCGGCUUGUUGCGUCGGCUGUGAAAUCCCGUGGCUUAACUGCGGGCUUGCAGCUGAUACGGGCAGACUGGAGUACUGCAGGGGAGACUGGAAUUCCUGGUGUAGCGGUGGAAUGCGCAGAUAUCAGGAGGAACACCAGUGGCGAAGGCGGUGCUCUGGGCCGGAACUGACGCUGAGGAGCGAAAGCGUGGGGAGCAAACAGG
rnacentral:rRNA from 1 species